rnacentral:rRNA from 1 species
UACGUAGGGUGCAAGCGUUAAUCGGAAUUACUGGGCGUAAAGCGUGCGCAGGCGGUUAUACAAGACAGGCGUGAAAUCCCCGGGCUUAACCUGGGAAUGGCGCCUGUGACUGUAUAGCUAGAGUGUGUCAGAGGGGGGUAGAAUUCCACGUGUAGCAGUGAAAUGCGUAGAUAUGUGGAGGAAUACCAAUGGCGAAGGCAGCCCCCUGGGAUAACACUGACGCUCAUGCACGAAAGCGUGGGGAGCAAACAG